GUGGGGAAUUUUGGACAAUGGGCGCAAGCCUGAUCCAGCAAUGCCGCGUGCAGGAAGAAGGCCUUCGGGUUGUAAACUGCUUUUGUACGGAACGAAAAGGCUCUGGCUAAUACCUGGAGCUCAUGACGGUACCGUAAGAAUAAGCACCGGCUAACUACGUGCCAGCAGCCGCGGUAAUACGUAGGGUGCGAGCGUUAAUCGGAAUUACUGGGCGUAAAGCGUGCGCAGGCGGUGCUGUAAGACAGGCGUGAAAUCCCCGGGCUCAACCUGGGAAUUGCGCUUGUGACGGCAGCGCUGGAGUGCGGCAGAGGGGGAUGGAAUUCCGCGUGUAGCAGUGAAAUGCGUAGAUAUGCGGAGGAACACCGAUGGCGAAGGCAAUCCCCUGGGCCUGCACUGACGCUCAUGCACGAAAGCGUGGGGAGCAAACAGGAUUAGAUACCCCAGUAGUCC
rnacentral:rRNA from 1 species